UACAGAGGUGCCAAGCGUUAGGCGGAAUCACUGGGCUUAAAGCGCGUGUAGGUGGACGGGUAAGUAUCUUGUGAAAUCCCACGGCUCAACCGUGGAACUGCUGGAUAUACUGCUUGUCUUGAGGCACUUAGGGGCAGCUGGAACAAAUGGUGGAGCGGUGAAAUGCGUAGAUAUCAUUUGGAACGCCAAAGGCGAAAGCAGGCUGCUGGGAGUGAUCUGACACUGAGACGCGAAAAGCCAGGGGAGCAAACGGG
rnacentral:rRNA from 1 species